rfam:Ricinus communis cultivar Hale ctg_1100012297558, whole genome shotgun sequence.
GAGCGGUGAUGAUGAAUGCGCCUUGUGAUGGAUGGUCUCCAUCAAUCAUCUGAUCGACAGAUGAGAUCAGGCGCCUCUGAGCUC